GACACAUUUCAUCCAAAUCCCAAGUCAUCAGCUGUGCUUGUCCUCCAAUAGGGCCGACAGGGGCCCUAUGACGUCAGCGGGUCCGCUCCAUUUCAGUGCGCCGGUGCACCGCUUAACUCGUAACGGCGAGGGCCAGGAAAACCGUUUAAACGGAGUGUAAUCUGUCGGCCAGCGGCAGCAACCACGUGGCUGUCAGCUGACAAAACAAGUGACAAUGUCGGCCUACAGGGCAAAAGCCAUGGCCAUGUGCCAUGUGUUCUUCAUUGUUGACUAAAUACAACUGCGGAAUGAAUUUGCCGACUGACUCUGCGGGAUCGUCUGCUGACGUUUCACCGUACUGCACCACCUGUGGCCGGGGGUUUGGUCAGACGUGAGACUCCUCUGCACUACCACCUGCAGACGUCAUUGUCAGUGAACAAAGACUGUGUCCGUUUUUCUGGUAAUAAGAAGCGAAGACCUCUGUUGUUUGUGGCAGCGCCGCCAGCAGCAGCAGUGCAAGUUAAAGCGAGCUCCCAUUGCUCCAUCUCAUGCUCACAUUCGACAUCACUCUGAUCCAGUGGUGGAAUAAGUACAUUUCCUCAAGUACUGUACUUUUUGAGUAACUUGUACUUUACUUGAGUAUUUCCAUUUUAUGCAACUUUAUACUUCUUUUUCACUACAUCUCUCAAGGUAAAUAUUGUACUUCUCACUUCUCUAAAUUUGGUGCUU